GUUUGAUCAUGGCUCAGAUUGAACGCUGGCGGCAGGCCUAACACAUGCAAGUCGAACGGAACCUUCGGGUUUAGUGGCGAACGGGUGAGUAAUGCCUAGGAAUCUGCCUAUUAGUGGGGGAUAACGAAUCGAAAGGUUCGCUAAUACCGCAUACGUCCUACGGGAGAAAGAGGGGGAGUCUUCGGACCUCUUGCUAAUAGAUGAGCCUAGGUCGGAUUAGCUAGUUGGUGAGGUAAAGGCUCACCAAGGCGACGAUCUGUAGCUGGUCUGAGAGGAUGGCCAGCCACACUGGAACUGAGACACGGUCCAGACUCCUACGGGAGGCAGCAGUGGGGAAUAUUGGACAAUGGGCGCAAGCCUGAUCCAGCCAUGCCGCGUGUGUGAGAAGGCCCUCGGGUUGUAAAGCACUUUAGCGAGGA
rnacentral:rRNA from 1 species